rnacentral:rRNA from 1 species
UACGUAGGGGGCUAGCGUUGUCCGGAUUUAUUGGGCGUAAAGGGCGCGUAGGCGGCCACCGCAAGUCAAUUGUGAAAUCUCCGGGCUUAACCCGGAAAGGUCAACUGAUACUGCGGGGCUAGAGUGCGGAAGGGGCAACUGGAAUUCUCGGUGUAGCGGUGAAAUGCGUAGAUAUCAGGAAGAACACCUAUGGCGAAGGCAGCACUCUGGGACGGUACUGACGCUGAGACGCGAAAGCGUGGGGAGCGAACAGG